NUUUAAUGAGAGUUUGAUCCUGGCUCAGGACGAACGCUGGCGGCGUGCCUAAUACAUGCAAGUAGAACGCUGAAGAGAGGAGCUUGCUCUUCUUGGAUGAGUUGCGAACGGGUGAGUAACGCGUAGGUAACCUGCCUUGUAGCGGGGGAUAACUAUUGGAAACGAUAGCUAAUACCGCAUAACAAUGGAUGACCCAUGUCAUUUAUUUGAAAGGGGCAAAUGCUCCACUACAAGAUGGACCUGCGUUGUAUUAGCUAGUAGGUGAGGUAACGGCUCACCUAGGCGACGAUACAUAGCCGACCUGAGAGGGUGAUCGGCCACACUGGGACUGAGACACGGCCCAGACUCCUACGGGAGGCAGCAGUAGGGAAUCUUCGGCAAUGGGGGCAACCCUGACCGAGCAACGCCGCGUGAGUGAAGAAGGUUUUCGGAUCGUAAAGCUCUGUUGUAAGUCAAGAACGAGUGUGAGAGUGGAAAGUUCACACUGUGACGGUAGCUUACCAGAAAGGGACGGCUAACUACGUGCCAGCAGCCGCGGUAAUACGUAGGUCCCGAGCGUUGUCCGGAUUUAUUGGGCGUAAAGCGAGCGCAGGCGGUUUGAUAAGUCUGAAGUUAAAGGCUGUGGCUCAACCAUAGUUCGCUUUGGAAACUGUCAAACUUGAGUGCAGAAGGGGAGAGUGGAAUUCCAUGUGUAGCGGUGAAAUGCGUAGAUAUAUGGAGGAACACCGGUGGCGAAAGCGGCUCUCUGGUCUGUAACUGACGCUGAGGCUCGAAAGCGUGGGGAGCGAACAGGAUUAGAUACCCUGGUAGUCCACGCCGUAAACGAUGAGUGCUAGGUGUUGGAUCCUUUCCGGGAUUCAGUGCCGCAGCUAACGCAUUAAGCACUCCGCCUGGGGAGUACGACCGCAAGGUUGAAACUCAAAGGAAUUGACGGGGGCCNGCACAAGCGGUGGAGCAUGUGGUUUAAUUCGAAGCAACGCGAAGAACCUUACCAGGUCUUGACAUCCCGAUGCUAUUUCUAGAGAUAGAAAGUUACUUCGGUACAUCGGUGACAGGUGGNGCAUGGUUGUCGUCAGCUCGUGUCGUGAGAUGUUGGGUUAAGUCCCGCAACGAGCGCAACCCCUAUUGUUAGUUGCCAUCAUUCAGUUGGGCACUCUAGCGAGACUGCCGGUAAUAAACCGGAGGAAGGUGGGGAUGACGUCAAAUCAUCAUGCCCCUUAUGACCUGGGCUACACACGUGCUACAAUGGUUGGUACAACGAGUUGCGAGUCGGUGACGGCAAGCUAAUCUCUUAAAGCCAAUCUCAGUUCGGAUUGUAGGCUGCAACUCGCCUACAUGAAGUCGGAAUCGCUAGUAAUCGCGGAUCAGCACGCCGCGGUGAAUACGUUCCCGGGCCUUGUACACACCGCCCGUCACACCACGAGAGUUUGUAACACCCGAAGUCGGUGAGGUAACCUUUUGGAGCCAGCCGCCUAAGGUGGGAUAGAUGANNGGGGNNNNNNNGUAACAAGNNNNNNGUAUCGGAAGNNNNNNNNNGAUCACCUCCUUUCUA
rnacentral:rRNA from 1 species